rnacentral:tRNA from 1 species
GCCGUGAUCGUCUAGUGGUUAGGAGAUUGCGUUGUGGCCGCAAUAACCCAGGUUCAUAUCCUGGUCAAGGCA